rnacentral:rRNA from 1 species
CCUACGGGGCGCACCAGUGGGGAAUUUUCCGCAAUGGGCGAAAGCCUGACGGAGCAAUGCCGCGUGGAGGUAGAAGGCCCACGGGUCGUGAACUUCUUUUCCCGGAGAAGAAGCAAUGACGGUAUCUGGGGAAUAAGCACCGGCUAACUUCGUGCCAGCAGCCGCGGUAAUACGAAGGGUGCAAGCGUUAAUCGGAAUUACUGGGCGUAAAGCGUGCGUAGGCGGUUUGUUAAGUCUGCUGUGAAAGCCCUGGGCUCAACCUGGGAAUGGCAGUGGAAACUGGCGAGCUAGAGUGUGAUAGAGGAUGGUGGAAUUCCCGGUGUAGCGGUGAAAUGCGUAGAGAUCGGGAGGAACAUCAGUGGCGAAGGCGGCCAUCUGGAUCGACACUGACGCUGAGGCACGAAAGCGUGGGGAGCAAACAGGAUUAGAUACCCGUGUAGUC